UCACAAGUGUUCUGACUGCAACUGCCUCUGAGAUAUUCUUUCAGUACCUUUAGGAUUUACUAAUUGGCCUCUACUUCAGAGCAAAUUUGGGAGUGAUAACAAAGAGAAUGAAGAGAACAGGAAUAGUUAGAAGAAGCUGGACUUCUGGCUUGGUAUAAAAAAGAAGGAAGAAAGAUGUGGUGCUUUGGAAAGCUCAGCAACCACUAAUGAAGCACAAAGAACUCUCUAAUUUUAGAGUGAUGUAGUAAGGAAAGGUUUCCACAGCGUUACAGGAGACUAUCCUUGAAAGAGCACCGCCAAAUCUGGUCAAUGUAAAGAUAGCUUUUUAGCAGGAGACACUCCUUGAAGGGGCACCCUCAAAUCUGGCCAUUAAAGAAAGAAGUUCAGCAGGUAGGCAAUGGCAGUUCAUAGUGACAUCACCAUUUGGCCCUCCCUGAAAAAUCUCUUGUACCCUGGAGUGCACUAGAUUCUUCUGUAAUGUCACAAGUGUUGUCAUCACAGCCUGGCCUAAGGGUUAUUCCUUCUGUAACUCUAGGUUUAUUAAUUAGCCUCUCAUUCAAUGUAAACAGUCAUUUGGGAGGGAGAAAAAAAGGAUGAAGAGAUCCAAGAAGGGGAGAAGGCAGCUGGCCUUCUGUUUUCGUAAAACAAAAAAUGAAGAAAUAUGCCAUCCGUGGGAACAUUCAGAGAGUCCUGGGUAGGGGCUGAGUGGAUUUGCUGAAGAGAAGCCUUGAUCUUAUCCUUCACGUAUCAGAAACAGGAGCUGGGAGCCUCUGAGAAGAAUCUGGACUUCCCUGUUGUUAUGAUACCAGGAAGUCAGAGCGUUUAUAUCAUUUAUUUAUUAUUCCAAAAGCCAGGUGUUGGGAAGUGUACAGUUGUUUUCCUGAGAGCUCACGCCUUUACUUUU